GUGUGAAGGAACACAAUGGCUCAUGUGGUUAGAAUGCUGGCUUCCCAAGCAGUAAGCUUGUGUUUAAGACCCGAGUGCUGCUGUGGGGUGGGGUGAGCUCCCGUCCUGCACUCCAGCUCCUGCCAGGGACAUGAAAGGAGCCCCCAACUAGGCUUAUCCUGGGCAAUGAUCUUUUCAACCCAGAAGCGCCUCAGUGCCUCUGACAUGAGUGCGAUACGAUCUCUGAGUGUAUGUCCAGCUUUUCAAGCGAAGGCAUCACAUUGGCAGCUUCGUCCUUGCUGAAGGUGCUGAGGAUCCUGAUGCUGCAGAUCAUUACAACUCAGAGGAAGACAGGAAUGCCAUCUUAGCAUCUUUCCUUUGAACACCAGAGAGUGAUUCUAUAAGUUUGUUCUAUGCCUGUGUUUUGUUGUCUGAGCUUAUAAAGAAAGCAUUUCCAAUUCCCAACGAAGUAUUUUUAUCUCAAGAA